GUAGGGAAUUUUGGACAAUGGGCGCAAGCCUGAUCCAGCAAUGCCGCGUGUGUGAAGAAGGCCUUCGGGUUGUAAAGCACUUUUGUCCGGAAAGAAAUCUCCUGGGUUAAUACCUCGGGGGGAUGACGGUACCGGAAGAAUAAGCACCGGCUAACUACGUGCCAGCAGCCGCGGUAAUACGUAGGGUGCGAGCGUUAAUCGGAAUUACUGGGCGUAAAGCGUGCGCAGGCGGCUAUGCAAGACAGAUGUGAAAUCCCCGGGCUCAACCUGGGAACUGCAUUUGUGACUGCAUGGCUAGAGUGCGUCAGAGGGAGGUGGAAUUCCGCGUGUAGCAGUGAAAUGCGUAGAGAUGCGGAGGAACACCGAUGGCGAAGGCAGCCUCCUGGGAUGACACUGACGCUCAUGCACGAAAGCGUGGGGAGCAAACAGGAUUAGAUACCCGGGUAGUCC
rnacentral:rRNA from 1 species